GUGAGGAAUAUUGCGCAAUGGGCGAAAGCCUGACGCAGCCACGCCGCGUGAAGGAUGACACCCCUUUGGGGCGUAAACUUCUUUUGUGUGAGAAGAAGGCCUUGGUCGCCAAGGUUUGACGGUAUCGCACGAAUAAGCACCGGCUAACUCCGUGCCAGCAGCCGCGGUAAUACGGAGGGUGCAAGCGUUGUCCGGAAUCACUGGGUGUAAAGGGUGUGUAGGCGGCUCUGUAAGUCAGAGGUGAAAUCCCGCAGCUUAACUGUGGAACUGCCUUUGAUACUGCAGAACUUGAGUCUCGAAGAGGUAGCUGGAAUUCGUGGUGUAGCGGUGAAAUGCGUAGAUAUCACGAGGAACACCAGAGGCGUAGGCGGGCUACUGGGCGAGUACUGACGCUGAGGCACGAAAGCGUGGGGAGCAAACAGGAUUAGAUACCCGUGUAGUCC
rnacentral:rRNA from 1 species